AACAAGAGAAUGUGAAUCUUUCGAAAGAGGAGUAUGCAAAUAGAAUCUCUCCUAAAGCCUUUCCAAGUUCUUGAAGUGCGCGACUCAGAUGAAGACGCCGCGCGUGAGGUCGGAGGUCUACAGUCAAGAGCUGUGCCGGAUCGAUUUAGGAAAAGUCUUCUGGAGCUUCUGAACAACCAGGCGUACGAAGCAGAUGAGAAAUAAAGAUGGAAAAGAAUAGCACAGAUAAUGAGAACCAGCAAGAUGGAUUCAACAGCCACCUUCCAUUAUCUGUCCAUAUUUACUUUACUAUUGAAACAAUGAAUAAAAAUUAGUACAAGUGUUGCUGCCAUGUUGUUGAAAGAAUUUUAUUUUUCUAAAUUACUUCUGUUCCGACUUGACUUACACUCUUCCUAAACUUGGCACUCGUUCAAGCAUUAAAAAUGUACAAAUUAUAAUUAAUUAUUUCCCAGUUUAAGUGUAUGUGGAAAAUGGUAAUGUUCAAACCUAUUUGAAAUAUAUUGUAAUUGUCACUUUUUUAAAAAUAUGUAACACUCUCGUAAGGGUUGAGAUAUUAUCAUGUUAUGAAAUGUCAGGGGCCGGUCUUAGGGCACUGCAACCUAUGCGGCCGCAGUGGGAUCCGCACUUUCAUAGGCCCACUAGUUGUAAAUUAUUAAAUUAAACCAUUAUAAUUUAUAACAGUGUUUCCAAGGCCUCCUCGUUCCAUAUGCUAGGACAAAUUUGUACAAAUGCACCUUCUUCCCUAGUGCUGUUAGAGCAUGGAAUGGGUUGCCUCAGCUAGCCAGGAAAACCAGUGACGCAGGACGUAAUUAUCUUCUAUUUUGAAGUAACGUCUGCAUUAUAUAAGAAGAAGAAAUUGCAAAGUGUACGAAAAAAAGUCAUGAAAAUCUCCUGAAAUUAUUAUUUUCUGAAAACUCAUAAAAAAUGACCUUAAAAAUAAACAAAAUUUUCAUUUUGGGGUGUCAUUAAAUUUGGAAAACGCCGAUCUCUUAAAAAAAGUAAAUCUACAAGGCAGAUGUGAAUGUUUAUCAGUGUUUUGUUGGAAAACUACCUUCUGUUGUACAUAGCUCGUAAUUUAAUUUGACCGUGAUUUUACACUUAGUAAAAUAUGAAUAAAAUGCAAUGACGAAUUAAUUUUAUUACAUAAAUUCUUAAUUUUCACUUAUUAUCCUUAUCCCUACCCAGACUAGGCCCCGCGCUAGCGGUUUCGCAUAGGGCCCCGCAAUCUACAGGACCGGCCCUGUGAACUGUGUAUAUACUAAAAUUAUGUGUUGAAAAUAUGUAUAGGAUAAUUAGCCAGGCAAGUUUCAUGAUAGAAGAUACUUUAUAGGCCCUUUGUGACGGGGAUAGAUUCAUGAUUGCGUUAAGAUAUUUGAACAAUAAAGAAUCGAAAUCUUCAAUAAGAAUAGAUCUGAAGAUGGAUUGUCGAAAUAUGUUUAAGACUUAUAUUUCAUUUUUACUUAAAUAAGGGAGGUAAUAAUUAUUCGAAUUCUCUAGGAAUUUAAACUAUUUUGUGUAUUGCCUCCCUUUGUAGGAGAAAUAACUGUAAGAAAUUGUUAUUUAGAGUCCAUUGCUAAAAAAAAUUGAGAAUGUUAGUAAAAUGUUUGAUUUUGAAUUAAUUUACUUAAAUAUCUAUUUUGUUUUGUUGUAACAAUGAAGUGUAAAAUCUUGGUUGUAAAAAAAAUGUUACGAAUGAAACAGCAACACUUGCUAAA